GAUUAGUGCGGUCACAGUUGUCUUUGUCUUUGACACAGUGGCUUUCUUCUUCCAUGAGGGGAUUUGGCGAUAUGGUAUGUUUGUUUCCAGGCGGAACGUUAAAGAAUGCGACACACGUCUCACCAAUCCAAUAAUGAAUUCAACAUUCUUGAAGUGUUUCAAGUAGAAUAAUGCGUUAUUAUGUCCCGACUGGAUGCAGUCAACACAUGGCUCAUUCGUAAUUGUUUUUGUCUUGUCUUACACUGGAUGGCUGGCCAAUCAGAGCACACCUUGCUUUUCUGACUGUGUCUCGGUUUCCAUCUGCUUCCAUGGGCAUCUUAAUACACAGUAUGGGUUACUGACAGUCAACUUGUGAGUUUCUGUUGAUACGAGAAGACAUCUGUAUGAUGACUACAGGGACUUCACAGGCAGAUGAACAUCAGCUUGAGUAUUUCAGACAGCAAACUGGAGCAGGAAUUGAUCCCUGUGACACUCCACAUGCAAGUGGGCAUGAGGACGAAACACUAAAUCUUCUAUUUGUUAGAAAAGAUUGAAACCAUUUUAACAUCAUGCUCUGUUACCCAACACAGCUCUCUAACC